GAUGAACGCUGACAGAAUGCUUACCACAUCAGCAAUUGAUUGGUGGCCGACGGGUGAGUAACGCGUCAAGAACUUGCCCCACAGCCAGGGACAACAUCUAGAUAUGAAUGCUAAUACCUGCUACUGUGAUAGAGCUUUGCGUCCCAUUAGCAAGUUGGAGAGGUAACAGCUCACGAAGGCGAUGAUGGGUAGCCGGCCUGAGAGGGUGAACGGUCACAAGGGGACUGGGACAAGGGCGUUGCUCCUACGGGAGGCAGGAGUGGGGAAUGUUAGAGAAGUGGCCGAAGUCGGAUCCAGCAAUUCGGUGUGCACGAUGAAGUUUUCGGAAUGUAAAGUGCGUUGAGGUGGAAAGCGGUACCAACAGAAGAAGGGAAGGGUAAAUACGUGCCAGCAGCGGCGGUAAUUC
rnacentral:rRNA from 1 species